ACGAAGGGGGCAAGCGUUGUUCGGAAUUACUGGGCGUAAAGGGCGCGUAGGCGGCUUACCAAGUCAGGCGUGAAAUUCCCGGGCUCAACCUGGGGGCUGCGCUUGAUACUGGUGGGCUCGAAUCCGGGAGAGGGAUGUGGAAUUCCAGGUGUAGCGGUGAAAUGCGUAGAUAUCUGGAGGAACACCGGUGGCGAAGGCGGCAUCCUGGACCGGUAUUGACGCUGAUGCGCGAAAGCCAGGGGAGCAAACGGGA
rnacentral:rRNA from 1 species